ensembl:snRNA U6 U6 spliceosomal RNA
GUAUUUGUCUUGGCAGCCCAUACACUAAAAUUGGAGCGAUUCAGAGAAGAGUAGCUUGACCCCUGUGCAAGGAUGACACAGAAAUUUGUCUUGUUCCACAAGUGAAG